AUUCAUCAAAACUGCCCUUUUUUUGGCGGACUCACUGCCGUCAAAUUCUCAUCUCUAAAAGGCUAUAAAACUUGCUCGAAUUAGAAGCAAUUUAACACUUACAUAUAAUUAUCAUGGUCCUCGACGAGUUUUGUGAAGAGACUGAUUCGAAAAUCUCACUCCAAACCCUUCGAUUUCGACUCCGAAAACAGGUGCGGCAGAAGGUUUACUAUUUCUCAUAAUUUCGCCAACAUAGCUGUCGGGUUAAAUUUGGUUAUAUAACUUGAAGAAAUAACUAACAAAGUCUUUCUCAAAUAACAAAGUAUUCUCACCUCGAGUUAGCACCAAAAGCAACAUCAUAGACCAAAAUUUUCUUAGGUACACAACCACGAAUGACACACCUGAAAUAAGAAUCCAUUAGUUUCUUAAGAUUCACCUUCAAUCACAUUACUUUAAACUUGUUGCUCAAUGUGCAUAAGACAAAUUUCAAAUAACUAAUGACACAUAUAGAUGCUAACUAUGGACAGUAAACUAGAAACCAACGAUAUUUGUUGUCACAUUUUCUUCCAAAAAUCGUAGCAGGCCGUCCAAAUCGGGAAAACAAUAUACCAAAUAAAAGUUCACAACUUUAUCUACAAUUGUGAUGAAGAUACCAACCCCCAAUUACUAAGAUAACACAACAAUAACAGCCCAAAAAGUUGAAUACAGAAAACAGCCAGAAUUGUUUUGGACAAACUUGUUUGCUGUCACAGUUUAUUUGAAAAAUCAUAACAAUUUGUAGAGUUAUCCAAAUUGACCAAAUAAUAUACCAAAUCAAACCUCACAACUCAAUAUACAAAACAUAAGAAGACACAUAGCCUAAAUUAUUACUCCAACAUAACAAAAACAGCUCCGUAUGAUGAUUAGGCAAAACUGCCCUGUUUUUUGACAGAUUCGCUGUCGUCUGAUUCCGACCCCUAAAAGGCUAUAACACGUGCUCGAAUUGGAAAUAAUUAAACACUUACUCAUAGUUUUCGAGGUUCUCU
rnacentral:lncRNA from 1 species